ACAUGGCCAUGUGAACGAUGAUUGCCGAACAUAAUCGGGUUGCUGAGACCGAGGUCAUACAAAGAUGGAAACUGGCGGAGCGCACGUUCCGAUGGGGUCCAACAGUUCACAAAUAUGGCGGAUAAACCCGAUUGUGGUGUUUGGGAUCUCUCGAAGCUAAGAAAUGCUUUGCGAGAGCGAGGUGCAAGAGUUUCAGGAAGGAAUAGAGAAUUGAUAGAACGGUGGAAAAGGUGCUCUGCUGUGUUCUGGGUGGUUUUGGCUUCAUCACAGGACAUUCGGUUCCAUCGAUGAUCACCCUAGUAGUAGGAAACUGCUUGUUGAAGUCAGUUGGUGUAUAAUACUUGACAAGAUCUCUCUCUGGCCACAAGUCAACUUCUCUCCACUGGUGAAACAUAAAAUUCACCCAUGUAAUCCAGAUAUUGGAUACAGAGACCUCUGAAAUGCUAAAAAGCCUACUCAGUUCAAAGUUAAUCUUAUGCUGUCUAAGCUUGAUCAGCGUUAAAAAAAAACUGAUCAGGAACACUCACAUUAUCUACCUGAGAAUAUAGAUAAUUAAGAUUGUAUGCAGCUUCACCAAGGGUCCGCAGGACAAAUAAAAACAAUUGAUACGAAGAAAGACCAGUAUAAAACAUAAUACCAGCAUUGUCAUUGACAAAGUUUUCAAUACUAAAAAUGGGUCUUUGUGGCGUCUGUGUGCUGGAGUUCACUGGAAAUGAUUGGGGGGUUGGGGGGUUGGAGUUACUUGGUGCAAAAGAGAAGAGUAGUGCAUUAGGAUGAACAUCUGCCGCAAUGGUGACUUCACUCUCCACAUUACACAUAUAAUCUUCAUUUGGAAGGAAAGAUGCACCAUCAGCUUCACCGCCCAUGUCCUCAACUGCUGUGUCAGUGUUGAUGUACCCCCUUCCAGACCUAAAUGUGCCAUUUUCAGAUUCUUUGAAUGACUGCUUACAUUGUCGCCAUGGAAAGAUACUUGGGACAGCAUGGUCUUUUAGCUGUUUCUUCCUUGGUGUAGUACCUAUUAUAUGGAUGGAAAUCUUAACAAUUCUGAAGUUUAAGCAUUAAAUAUACAUUCAAUUGAUAUUGUUUAUAGUAUUCUUGAUCAUAGUUUACUUUAUAAUACUGAAAAUGAAGAUUACAACUUGAA